GAUGAACGCUGGCGGCGUGCCUAAUACAUGCAAGUCGAGCGAACAGACGAGGAGCUUGCUCCUCUGAUGUUAGCGGCGGACGGGUGAGUAACACGUGGAUAACCUACCUAUAAGACUGAGAUAACUUCGGGAAACCGGAGCUAAUACCGGAUAACAUGUUGAACCGCAUGGUUCAACAGUGAAAGACGGUCUUGCUGUCACUUAUAGAUGGAUCCGCGCCGCAUUAGCUAGUUGGUAAGGUAACGGCUUACCAAGGCAACGAUGCGUAGCCGACCUGAGAGGGUGAUCGGCCACACUGGAACUGAGACACGGUCCAGACUCCUACGGGAGGCAGCAGUAGGGAAUCUUCCGCAAUGGGCGAAAGCCUGACGGAGCAACGCCGCGUGAGUGAAGAAGGUCUUCGGAUCGUAAAACUCUGUUAUUAGGGAAGAACAAAUGUGUAAGUAACUAUGCACGUCUUGACGGUACCUAAUCAGAAAGCCACGGCUAACUACGUG
rnacentral:rRNA from 1 species